rnacentral:rRNA from 1 species
CUAACACAUGCAAGUCGAACGGUAACAGGCCCUUCGGGGNUGCUGACGAGUGGCGGACGGGUGAGUAAUGCUUGGGAAUCUGCCUAGUAGUGGGGGAUAACCCGGGGAAACCCGGGCUAAUACCGCAUACGUCCUACGGGAGAAAGCGGGGGAUCGUAAGACCUCGCGCUAUUAGAUGAGCCCAAGUCGGAUUAGCUAGUUGGUAGGGUAAUGGCCUACCAAGGCAACGAUCCGUAGCUGGUCUGAGAGGACGAUCAGCCACACCGGAACUGAGACACGGUCCGGACUCCUACGGGAGGCAGCAGUGGGGAAUAUUGGACAAUGGGCGCAAGCCUGAUCCAGCAAUGCCGCGUGUGUGAAGAAGGCCUGCGGGUUGUAAAGCACUUUCAGCAGGGAAGAACAGCGUGGGGCUAAUAUCCCCGCGUCCUGACGUAACCUGAAGAAGAAGCACCGGCUAACUCCGUGCCAGCAGCCGCGGUAAUACGGAGGGUGCGAGCGUUAAUCGGAAUUACUGGGCGUAAAGCGUACGUAGGUGGCUUGAUAAGUCGAAUGUGAAAGCCCUGGGCUUAACCUGGGAACUGCAUCCGAAACUGUCUGGCUAGAGUAAGGGAGAGGGAAGCGGAAUUUCCGGUGUAGCGGUGAAAUGCGUAGAUAUCGGAAGGAACACCAGUGGCGAAGGCGGCUUCCUGGCCCAUUACUGACACUGAGGUACGAAAGCGUGGGGAGCAAACAGGAUUAAAUACCUGG